UACGAGUGGUGCAAGCGUUAUUCGGAAUAAUUGGGCGUACAGGGUGCGUAGACGGUAUGUUAAGUCUGCUGUUAAAUCCUCCGGCUUAACCGGAGAUAUGCGGUGGAAACUGGCGUACUAGAGGGUGGAAGAGAGAAGUGGAAUUCUCGGUGUAGCGGUAAAAUGCGUAGAUAUCGAGAGGAACACCGAUGGCGAAGGCAGCUUCUUGGUCCAUUCCUGACGUUGAGGCACGAAAGCGUGGGGAGCAAAC
rnacentral:rRNA from 1 species